GAAAACACAACGGGGUACUUUUGCGUGAUUGCGUCGAACGAAAACCCCUCUCUAUUCUCUAAAACCCGCACUGAAUCUCUCGUCUCCGCCUCUCUCCGGACGUUCUUCAUUUCUCUCUUUACAUUUUUUCCACUCAAUGGCUUCAGCGGUUCUCAGAAACCCUAAUUCCAAACGCUUUUUUCCAUUCUCUUCCCCAAUCUACUGGUGCUGUCGAGGAUCGGCCUCCACUCAUUUCUCAAUCUCCGAUUCGCUCUCUGGAAAUGAAACUACCUCUGUGUCCGCUGGUUCAUGGUGGAGAUCCAUGGCUACCUUCACUCGGACUAAACCUCAUGUCAAUGUGGGAACAAUUGGACAUGUUGAUCAUGGGAAGACAACUCUUACUGCAGCAAUUACAAAGGUUCUAGCAGAAGAAGGUAAAGCCAAGGCUGUAGCCUUUGAUGAAAUUGACAAGGCCCCUGAAGAGAAAAAGAGAGGAAUUACAAUUGCAACGGCUCAUGUGGAGUAUGAAACUGCUAAGCGUCACUAUGCCCAUGUUGACUGCCCUGGACAUGCAGAUUAUGUGAAAAACAUGAUUACUGGAGCUGCCCAGAUGGAUGGUGGAAUUCUAGUUGUAUCUGCCCCUGAUGGGCCCAUGCCACAGACAAAGGAGCAUAUUCUGCUUGCUCGUCAGGUUGGUGUGCCAUCACUUGUGUGUUUCCUGAAUAAAGUUGAUGCCGUUGAUGAUCCAGAGUUAUUAGAGCUUGUGGAAAUGGAGCUCCGUGAACUGCUUAGUUUCUACAAGUUUCCUGGAGAUGAAAUUCCUAUCAUUCGGGGAUCAGCAUUGUCUGCUUUACAGGGAACAAAUGAAGAAAUAGGGAAAAAUGCCAUCUUAAAAUUAAUGGAUGCUGUGGAUGAAUACAUUCCUGAUCCUGUGAGGCAACUUGACAAGCCUUUCCUAAUGCCAAUAGAAGAUGUUUUCUCAAUUCAGGGACGUGGAACUGUUGCAACUGGACGUGUUGAACAAGGAACCAUUAAAGUUGGUGAAGAAGUUGAGAUUUUGGGGUUAAUGCAGGGUGCUCCUCUAAAAACAACUGUGACAGGUGUUGAGAUGUUUAAGAAAAUCUUGGAUCAAGGACAAGCUGGUGACAAUGUGGGUCUUCUCCUACGUGGUCUAAAGCGAGAUGAUGUGCAAAGAGGACAGGUGAUUGCUAAACCUGGAACAGUGAAAACAUACCGGAAGUUUGAAGCAGAGAUAUAUGUCCUCACAAAGGAUGAAGGUGGACGUCAUACUGCUUUCUUUUCCAACUACAGGCCACAGUUUUACAUGAGGACAGCAGAUAUCACUGGGAAAGUGGAGUUGCCUGAAAAUGUUAAGAUGGUUAUGCCUGGGGACAAUGUGACUGCAACUUUUGAACUGAUCUUACCUGUUCCCCUUGAAGCGGGACAAAGAUUUGCCUUGAGGGAGGGAGGUAGAACAGUUGGAGCAGGUGUGGUCUCAAAAGUAGUUGGCUGAGUUGUUCUGAUGCGAGAUAUUUUAGGCUUUUUGUCACCUUGUUCGUUAAAAGAGCUCUAGUGAUAGAAUUGGAAAUUAUUGAGAUUCAACCUUUGAGUGGGCUCUCUGAAAUGUAGGAUUUUUGCUCCCAUCUGGUGAAAGUUAGGAGGGCUUGCGUAUGAAUUCGCGUGGACAUGGGGCUUCGAAUUCGGUAGUUUUCUUUGUUAAAAUGAGUUUAAAUAUUUAUCAGCAAGUGGUAGGAUUAUUGGCGUAAGGUUAAUUUCAAGGUAACUUUAUUUACAAGGUUAGAGUUCAAAUUUUAGAGUUCUCAGGAUUCAAAUUACAUGAAUACUAUUUACUCCUGGCCUGAAUAA